rnacentral:misc_RNA from 1 species
GGCUGCUCAUUUUUAUUCGGAUUGUGGUCCUUGGUUUGUUUCUGACAUGGAGAGUUAGACAUCAAAACAAUGAUGCAAUCUGGCUGUGGGGAAUGUCGGUUGUUUGUGAGAUAUGGUUUGCUUUUUCCUGGCUUCUUGACCAACUUCCCAAGCUAUGCCCAAUCAAUCGGGCCACAGAUCUUAAUGUCUUGAAGGAGAAAUUUGAAACACCGAAUCCAAGUAACCCCACAGGUAAAUCUGAUCUCCCAGGCAUAGAUGUCUACGUCUCUACUGCAGAUCCAGAGAAAGAACCACCUCUUGUCACUGCAAACACUAUUUUGUCAAUCCUUGCUGCUGAUUACCCUGUUGAAAAACUUUCUUGUUAUGUUUCUGAUGAUGGAGGUGCGCUUCUAACAUUUGAGGCCAUGGCAGAAGCAGCAAGUUUUGCUAAUAUUUGGGUUCCCUUCUGCCGUAAACAUGGCAUUGAGCCCAGAAAUCCAGAGUCUUACUUCACUUUGAAGAGGGAUCCUUAUAAGAACAAAGUGCGCCCUGAUUUUGUCAAGGAUCGCAGGAGAGCAAAGCGUGAAUAUGAUGAGUUCAAGGUCCGAAUCAAUGGCUUGCCUGAUUCUAUUCGCCGCCGAUCUGAUGCCUAUCAUGCUCGUGAGGAAAUCAAGGCAAUGAAACUUCAAAGACAGAAUAGAGAUGAUGAAACUGUGGAGAGCGUAAAGAUUCCAAAAGCUACGUGGAUGGCUGAUGGUACCCACUGGCCAGGGACUUGGAUGCAUCCUGCUCCUGAGCAUUCUAGGGGUGACCAUGCUGGUAUAAUACAGGUGAUGUUGAAACCUCCUAGUGAUGAACCACUGCAUGGAAAUGCUGAUGAUACAAGGAUCAUGGAUUUUACUGAUGUUGAUAUUCGUCUACCACUACUCGUUUAUGUUUCUCGCGAGAAACGUCCUGGCUAUGAUCACAACAAGAAGGCAGGGGCCAUGAAUGCGCUUGUUAGAGCCUCAGCCAUUAUGUCUAAUGGGCCAUUCAUUCUCAACCUUGAUUGUGAUCAUUACAUUUACAACUCCCAAGCAAUGAGAGAAGGCAUGUGCUUCAUGAUGGAUCGAGGAGGUGACCGCAUCUGUUAUGUUCAGUUCCCUCAGAGGUUUGAGGGUAUUGACCCUUCUGAUCGAUAUGCUAAUCACAACACUGUUUUCUUUGAUGUCAAUAUGCGUGCCCUUGAUGGUCUUAUGGGGCCAGUUUAUGUUGGAACGGGAUGUCUCUUUAGAAGGACUGCCCUGUAUGGCUUUGAUCCUCCUCGAGCAAAAGAACAUCACCCAGGUUGCUUCAGCUCUUGCUUUACCCGUCGCAAGAAGCAUUCUUCUGUUGGAAACAACCCAGAAGAGAACAGGGCAUUAAGAAUGGGUGAUUCUGAUGAUGAAGAGAUGAACCUCUCCCAGUUCCCAAAGAUGUUUGGCAACUCGACAUUCCUCAUUGAUUCAAUCCCAGUGGCAGAGUUUCAAGGUCGCCCCCUUGCUGAUCACCCAGCUGUUAAGAAUGGACGCCCACCUGGUGCCCUUACCAUUCCUCGUGAACUUCUUGAUGCUUCAACUGUUGCAGAGGCAGUCAGUGUCAUCUCUUGCUGGUACGAAGAUAAGACAGAGUGGGGACAGCGAGUUGGGUGGAUUUAUGGGUCUGUUACUGAAGAUGUUGUCACUGGUUAUAGGAUGCACAACAGGGGAUGGAAAUCAGUUUAUUGCGUCACCAAGCGUGAUGCCUUCCGUGGAACUGCACCAAUCAAUCUCACGGACAGGCUUCAUCAAGUCCUCAGGUGGGCUACUGGUUCGGUUGAGAUUUUCUUCUCUCGCAACAAUGCCCUUCUGGCCAGCCCGAGAAUGAAAUUUCUGCAGAGGAUAGCAUAUCUCAAUGUUGGUAUCUACCCAUUUACUUCCAUCUUUCUGAUUGUCUACUGCUUCCUACCUGCACUGUCCCUCUUCUCCGGCCAGUUCAUUGUCCAGACCCUUAAUGUUACUUUCCUUGUGUACCUACUUGUGAUCUCUCUGACUCUAUGUUUACUUGCUUUGCUUGAGAUCAAAUGGUCUGGCAUUGCACUAGAGGAGUGGUGGAGAAAUGAACAGUUUUGGUUAAUUGGAGGGACUAGCGCCCACUUGGCUGCUGUGCUUCAGGGGUUGCUGAAAGUUAUUGCAGGAAUUGAAAUUUCUUUUACCUUGACGUCAAAAUCAGCUGGUGAUGAUGUGGAUGAUGAGUUUGCUGACCUUUACCUUGUCAAAUGGACAUCUUUGAUGAUACCACCAAUUGUGAUCAUGAUGGUCAACUUAAUUGCAAUAGCUGUUGGAGUUAGCCGCACAAUAUACAGCGUCAUACCGCAGUGGAGCCGUCUGUUAGGUGGGGUUUUCUUCAGUUUCUGGGUCUUGGCUCAUCUCUACCCCUUCGCGAAAGGGCUGAUGGGAAGACGAGGAAGUACACCGACCAUUGUUUUUGUGUGGUCAGGACUUAUCGCAAUCACCAUAUCCCUCCUUUGGGUGGCUAUUAAUCCACCCUCUAAUACUGACCAAAUUGGAGGCUCAUUCCAGUUCCCUUGAUAGGCCAUUCAUUUCUGUUGAGUUGCAUUUGUUCAAUGACAUUCCUUCAUUAGAUUUUUAACUUAUAUAU